CCUACGGGAGGCAGCAGUGAGGAAUAUUGGUCAAUGGGCGGGAGCCUGAACCAGCCAAGUCGCGUGAGGGAAGAAGGUACUGAGUAUUGUAAACCUCUUUUGCCAGGGAACAAAGGCGGCCACGGGUGGCCGUAAGAGGGUACCUGAUGAAAAAGCAUCGGCUAACUCCGUGCCAGCAGCCGCGGUAAUACGGAGGAUGCGAGCGUUAUCCGGAUUUAUUGGGGUUAAAGGGGGCGGAGGUGGGGUGUCAAGUCAGCGGUAAAAAGUUCGGGCCCAACCCCGGGCGGGCGGUUGAUACUGGCAUGCUCGAGUUGGAGAGAAGUAUGCGGAAUUCGUGGUGUAGCGGUGAAAUGCAUAGAUAUCACGAAGAACCCCGAUUGCGAAGGCAGCAUACUGGCUCCACACUGACGCUGAGGCACGAAAGCGUGGGUAUCGAACAGGAUUAGAUACCCGAGUAGUC
rnacentral:rRNA from 1 species